AAGCACCCUAAUUCUUCUUCCCAGCAAUGCUUUUGAAGAUUCCACAGUGGAGUCCAGUAGCUCUGAGUAUCUUUGUUGGGUCCCAUCCACUGCUGAAGUUGGUCAUGCUCUCUCUUAAAAUGUGUUUGUAUAUAAAAUUAGAUUAUAGGUUAGACUCAGCAGCUCUUUUCAUCAGGGUCCAGUAAUCUUUGGAAUGGGGAGAAAUUCAUGGGAGGGGAAGAUUACUGGACGGUUGUACCUAAAGAUUGGGAGAGCCAAGGCCAAGCUGAGAAGGGUGGAAUCUGAUCCUUGUCUAAAUCUGAAUAGUCAAGAGUGACUGAGGGCUUGGCUACACUGGAGAGUUGCAGCGUUGGUGGUGGGUUUACAGUGCUGCAACUUACUCACCGUCCACACUUGCAAGGCACAUACAGCACUGCUCUCCCUGGCUGCAGCGCUGGCUGUACUCCUGCUCUGGCUGAGAUAUAACAAUUGCAGCGCUGGUGAUGCAGCGCUGCUCCUCUAGUAUGGCCACCAAAAGCGCUGUAAUUUGGCCUCCAGAGAUAUUCGGAGGUAUCUCAGAAUGCCUGUUCAGCCAUUCUGCUCAUCAAUUCGCACUCUGCUGCCCUGGCCUCAGGUGACCCGCCCUUUAAAUGCCCCAGGAAUUUUAAAAAUCCCCUUCCUGUUUGCUCAGCCAGAUGUGGAGUGCAAUCAGUGAAUCUUUCCAGGUGACCAUGCCUCCACGCGCCAAACGAGCCCCAGUAUGGAGCAAUGGCGAGUUGCUGGAUCUCAUCAGUGUUUGGGAUGAGGAAGCUGUGCAGUCACAGCUGCGCUCUAGCCGUAGGAAUUACGAUACCUACGGGCCGAUAUCAAGGGCCAUGCUGGAAAGGGGCCAUGACCGGGAUGCGGUGCAGUGCAGGGUUAAAGGGAAGGAGCUGCGGAGUGCCUAUUGCAAAGCCCACGAGGGAAACCGCCAUUCCGGCGCUGCCUUCACGACCUGCCGUUUUUACAAGGAGCUGGACACGAUACUUGGGGGUGACCCCACUGCCAAUCCGACGACCACGAUGGACACUUCAGAGUAGGGGGGGAAACUGAGACUGAGGGUACUGGGGUGGGGGGAGACACCCCGGAGUCCCAGGAAGCAUGCAGCCAGGAGCUCUUCUCAAGCCAGGAGGAAGGUAGCCAGUCGCAGCAGCCGGUACUUGGUGAAGGAAAAGCAGAGGAGCGGGUUCCCGUGUCCUUGACUACUCGACUGCCCGUAUCAUCGACUGCUCAGAGGCUACAAAACCUCUGGAAGAAGCCGCGAAAAAGCAAAGAAGACAUGAUGAAAGCA